rnacentral:misc_RNA from 1 species
AAUGUAUACCAAUAUUAAAGGAGUGUGAUUCAAGCACAGAGAACAUGACCUCCAAGACUAAGUUGUCUGAUGCAGGCAAAAUGGAUUGGGUAAAUGGGUCAAAAGACAGGGGACUUCUGGUGGCCUUUGCAAAUCGUGGGCCAGUUUUAGCUUUUGUAUAUGGUACAUGCUGCAUAUUUAGUCUAUUAGAGGAUGGAAGUUCUGUGGGAGAGAUAUAUUUCUCAGAUGAUCUGCUCCCUAUUGAAGGAAAGUCACAUGCCAUUGGUGGCAUGUUUGUUGGAGAUGAUAACAAUCUGCUUUAUUCUGAAGAUUCAGAUGCCACCUUCAUUGAAAAAUUUGUUGUAUGGAAUGGUAAAGGAGCGGCCAUAGUAUACAGGA